rnacentral:rRNA from 1 species
GAUAAACGCUGGCGGUGUACAUAAGACAUGCAAGUCGAACGGGAGAAACUGAGAUGGAUUUAUUCAACUUAGCAGACACCGUGGCGGAUGGGUGAGUAACACGUAAGCAACCUGCCUAAAAGAGGGGAAUAACAGAGAGAAAUUUCUGAUAAUACCGCAUAUACCAAAGUAUCGCAUGGUACAAUUGGGAAAGAUUUAUCACUUUUAGAUGGGCUUGCGUCUGAUUAGCUAGUUGGUGAGAUAAUAGCUCACCAAGGCGACGAUCAGUAGCCGGAUUGAGAGGUUGAACGGCCACAUUGGGACUGAGACACGGCCCAGACUCCUACGGGAGGCAGCAGUCGGGAAUAUUGCACAAUGGAGGAAACUCUGAUGCAGUGACACCGCGUAUAGGAAGAAGGCCUUAGGGUUGUAAGCUAUUGUCGUGUGAGAAGAAAAUGACUAUCACAGGAGGAAGCCCUGGCUAAAUAUGUGCCAGCAGCCGCGGUAAUACAUAUGGGGCGAGCGUUAUCCGGAUUUAUUGGGUGUAAAGGGUUCGUAGGCGGGAAAGUAAGUCAGUAUGUGAAAUCCCUCGGCUCAACCGAGGAACUGCGAUUGAAACUAUUUUUCUUGAGUACUGGAGGGGAAAGUGGAAUUCUUAGUGUAGCGGUGAAAUGCGUAGAUAUUAGGAAGAACACCAGUGGCGAAGGCGACUUUCUGGACAGUAACUGACGCUGAGGAACGAAAGUGUGGGGAGCAAACAGGAUUAGAUACCCUGGUAGUCCACACUGUAAACGAUGGAUACUAGGGGUUGGCAUAGGAAACGUCGGUCCCGCAGUUAACGCAUUAAGUAUCCCACCUGGGGAGUACGACCGCAAGGUUAAAACUCAAAGGAAUUGACGGGGGCCCGCACAAGCAGUGGGGUAUGUGGUUUAAUUCGACGCAACGCGAAGAACCUUACCAGGGCUUGACAUGAUUAGGAAUAUAUAAGAGAUUAUAUAGCUCUACGGAGUCUAAUUACAGGUGGUGCAUGGUUGUCGUCAGCUCGUGUCGUGAGAUGUUGGGUUAAGUCCCUAAACGAGCGCAACCCUUAUCACUAGUUGCUAACAUUAAGUUGAGGACUCUAGUGAGACUGCCGUUUAUUAAAACGGAGGAAGGAGAGGAUGACGUCAAAUCAUCAUGCCCUUUAUGUCCUGGGCUACACACGUACUACAAUGGGUAGGACAAAGGGAAGCAACGGAGUGAUCCUGAGCAAGACCCAAAACCUAUUCACAGUUCGGAUUGAAGGCUGAAAUUCGCCUUCAUGAAGCCGGAAUUGCUAGUAAUGGCAGGUCAGCAUACUGCCGUGAAUACGUUCCCGGGCCU